AGCGGCGAUCACCCUGGAGCACUUAUUAUCAGGAACAUGAACAAUGAAAGAGUACCACCCGGGUCAAAGCCGAUGCACGGACCAAGAGAGUCCACUCCCACCUCGGCCCGGCUGCGAAGGAUUAAAGGGUCCGCCGACCUGCAAAGUGAAAUAAAUGUUCUUACUUCCCUCUUCAAGUUUAA